CUGUUAAACAUAGUCCACUAGUUCUCAUUAUGAGCGCUGUUACCACAGGAUAUCAUUAAACACGUUCUAUUGAACAUAGGCCUGUGAUUGUCAUUAUUAACACUGUUAACACAGGUUUUUUUUAAAAGUCGUAGGCAGUCUCCAUCUCACUUUUUGGUCUUGGUCGAUGGUGUUUUAACAUUUUUUUAUACUUGGGAGGUUUUCAAUAUAACCACUAGAUGGCGGUAUUAGUCUGUGUACUGGACCUUGGAAAUCAGAGCUGGAGACGGAUAGACACUGCGCGAGGGAUGUUUGCACUCACACACAAACACAGACACACUUGGGAUCAUAGCUAACCAAGUAUUUACAUGUAUUUAUAUUGAAUCAUUGUUAAAUACUUGAUUCUGAUUGGUCAAUACCGUCCCAAGGUUGUGCAUUAUUUUGCAUUCUUCAAUAACGGGACACCUGUGCCUUUUAACAAUUCCAAAUAAAGUUGGUACGGAUUGAACAAUGAAAAUAAUGGUCAAACACAAUGGACCAGAUCUUCUUGACUAUGCAAAAACAAUAUUCUCACAGCACCGCAGAACAAUAUCUUAACUUCAGCUGAUUAAGUCGAUGAAAAGCCAAUAACUUUAUGGUUGAAAGUAAGCAUUAUGUAAUUAUGGCAAAAAUGUUAUUGGAAAUUGGUAUUCGAAAAAAUGCGAAAGAUAAAUGGUUGAUGUUUUACUCCUUACGUUAAUACACUUUCUAAUUGUAAACACACCUACUGGUUAGAAGUGUUUGUAUAGAAUAUACGCUAAAGCAACCUUGCCGGCUUUAGUACAAAUACAAGUAAGUGGACACACACACACACACAAGCAGACACAUACACACGGACACACACACGCAGACCAUUGGUUAAGGCUGGGCGCCUAGGCCCAAGUGUCUGGCUGAAGACAGUGAUUAAUGUUGGCGCUGAAUCCUCCCACUCCCUCCCGCUCAUCUCUCUCUAACUUUUUCAUGGCCCCCGUCACCUCCCCCUCCGUUUCUGUAAAAACACCACCAUAUGUUCUCCGGCUCUCGGAUCAUUGGCUUCUCACCACCGUGUGCUCCUAGCAUUUCCCCAUUUUACUUCUUCAACACUACCUCUUUUUUUUUCUCGCCCACCCCAUAUUUUCUCACGCCUCUCUCCUCUCCCCCCCUCCUCUCCUCUCCCCCCAGUCCCUCACAGACAUUCAUCUAUCCCUAUCGCCUGCUCUGCUGUCAUGAUAUCACUUUCUUCACCUCACCUCUUGUUCCUUCCCUUCUUUUUCCUCCUCCCCCACUCUCUCCCACUCUCCGUUGCUCUGGGUCUCUGCCUCAUCUGUCCUACUGUCUUUCUUUCCACCCCUUAGAUCCAUCCGCUCUAUCACUUCCCCACGCUCUGCUAAUAUUACAUGUAACACUUCUCUCACUCUCUCUCACUCUCUCUAUGUCUCUGUCUGUCUGUCUGUCUGUCUGUCUGUCUGUCUGUCUGUCUGUCUGUCUGUCUGUCUGUCUGUCUGUCUGUCUGUCUGUCUGUCUGUCUGUCUGUCUGUCUGUCUGUCUGUCUGUCUGUCUGUCUGUCUGUCUGUCUGUCUGUCUGUCUGUCUGUCUGUCUGUCUCUCUCUCUCCCUAUCUCACUCUCUGUCUGACUCUCUGUGUGUGUGUGUGUGUGUGUGUGUGUGUGUGUGUGUGUGUGUGUGUGUGUGUGUGUGUUUGAGUCUCUCUCUCUCUCUCUCUCUCUCUCUCUCCCUCUCUCUCUCUCUCUCCCUCUCUCUCUCUCUCUCUCUCUCUCUCCCUCUCUCUCUCUCUCUCUCUCUCUCUCUCUCUUUAUCCGAUUGUGUUCUCCACCUCAGUCCACAUACCGCAAACAACGUUUUCCAUUUCCAUUUGUCCUUUUCUCAGCCUUUAAUAUUUUUAUUAUUUUCUCUUUUCUCUCCCCAUUUCUCUCCUCCCCCUUGCCCCUGUCUUGAGUUGUUUGCCAUUAGUUUGUAGUCAGACAGAGCAGGAGUGGCAGGGGGGUGGGGGAAUGGGUGUUAAACAUGAACUAAAAGGGAUUUAAUGGCCACUCACUGAAGCAGGUUCUGUGCAAUUAUCAGACGCAGGAGAGACAAGCGAUGCCCUUCUGUUGUCCUCCUCUCUCCGCUGCCACCUCAUUCCUCCCGCUCUCGCUCUCUCCUUUCACGUCACCUUACACUCUCUCUCCUCUUGCACUCUCUCUCACCUCGGUCGGGGCCCCCCGUCGGCUUCACCGCUGCUCGUCUGUUUAGAGCUAUCUGUCUGCCUGCCUGCCUGUUUGUUUGCCUGUAGGCCUGCCUGUUUCUUUGCCGUUCCGUCUAACAGUUUGUUCUCCUGUAGGUCUGCCUGAUAGUGUGGCUGCCUGUUUGACUUGGUUUGCUUGUGGGUUUCCUGUUGUUUGUGGGUCUUUUGUCAGACCUCAAUGACUGCUGGGCUGUCUCUGUUUUUCUCACGUUUCAUCCCUCUCUCAGUCCCACCCCCCCUCUGUUUCUCUGUAAGUAUUGUGUUUGUUUUCAUCCCAUCCGUUGUCCGCUGCUCUUCUCUGCUAGUUCAUCUGAGAUGUUGUUCCAUGUGUGUGUUCUUGCCGUCUUUUAGGAUGUGUUAUUGUUGUUGUUGUUCUCUUUAAUAGGAUCAGAGGUUGUGUGUAUUUUGGUCUGGAUUUCGUUUUUGUAAUCGAGUGUUAUUCAUACCUGAACCCCUCUGCAAUACAAAGUAAAUGGAAUGCAUUUGUACAGCGCUUUUUUUAAACCAGUGGCCACUCAAAGCGCUUUACAAUAUGGCCUAACAUUCACCCAUUCACACACGCACAUUCACACACCGACGGCGGUGUCAACCAUGCAAGCUCGUCGAGAGCAGUUAUGCUGAGGCUUCUUGCUCAGGGACACCUCAACACUCUAGGGGGAGCCGGGGAUCGAACUAGCAACCUUCCGCUUACCAGGAAACCCGCUCUACCUCCUGAGCCAAAUCCCGCCCCAAAGCUCUAAUGAACUCAACCUAUACUGAUUUACUCUCAAACUCAUUUCUCUGUGUUUCCCAUCGUCUCCUUUUUAGUCUUCCGGCUCCAAUACCGGUACUACUACCAUGUUCACUGUCUGACAGCCACUAGUGCUAAAUCCUUUAAUGAUCAUUGGAGGUGUCAAUGCAGCUCUCUGUCGCUGACAAACUGUGUUAAUAUUCCCUCUCAUUCUCCUAUUCGCGUUCCUGCUGCCCCUCUUGUCCUCUUUUUGUCUUAUCUUCUACCCCCACAUGCACACACACUCACACACUCACACACUCACACACUCACACAUGCACACAUGCACACACACACACACACACACACACACACACACACACACACACACACACACACACACACACACACACACACACACACACACACACACACACACACACACACACACACA